CAUGAAGUUGGAUUCGCUAGUAAUCGCGCAUCAGCCAUGGCGCGGUGAAUACGUUCCCGGGCCUUGUACACACCGCCCGUCAAGCCAUGGAAGCUGGGGGUGCCUGAAGUUCGUAACCGUAAGGAGCGACCUAAGGCAAAACUGGUGACUGGGGCUAAGUCGUAACAAGGUAGCCGUACCGGAAGGUGUGGCUGGAACACCUCCUUU
rnacentral:rRNA from 1 species